GACGAACGCUGGCGGCGUGCUUAACACAUGCAAGUCGAACGGAAAGGCCCUGCUUUUGUGGGGUGCUCGAGUGGCGAACGGGUGAGUAACACGUGAGUAACCUGCCCUUGACUUUGGGAUAACUUCAGGAAACUGGGGCUAAUACCGGAUAGGAGCUCCUGCUGCAUGGUGGGGGUUGGAAAGUUUCGGCGGUUGGGGAUGGACUCGCGGCUUAUCAGCUUGUUGGUGGGGUAGUGGCUUACCAAGGCUUUGACGGGUAGCCGGCCUGGGGGGGUGACCGGCAACAUGGGGACUGAGAUACGGCCCAGACUCCGACGGGAGGCAGCAGUGGGGAAUAUGGCACAAUGGGCGGAGGCCUGAUGCAGCAACGCCGCGUGCGGGAUGACGGCCUUCGGGUUGUAAACCGCUUUCGCCUGUGACGAAGCGUGAGUGACGGUAAUGGGUAAAGAAGCACCGGCUAACUACGUG
rnacentral:rRNA from 1 species